CUAGAGGUUGAUCCACCUCCCCCAAGUCAAGCUGCCUUCCAGGAGGGUUCUGGGAGAACUGGCCUCUAUUUCUACCCCCACUGACCAUGACUAGCAGCCCCUGCUGUCACUGAUUAUCUGUCUUCCUGCGCCAGGGACGCCCUCUCUGGACUGUGAGGGUCUGGACGGCAGAGGGCUGGGUCUUCGCCCAGAGGAGGUUGCUCAUCUUGGCGCUGGGGCAGAAAAGGGACAGUGCUGCAUUUACUACGUGGGCCCGGGAGGCUGACACCAAUGCAGCAUCUCCUGGGCUCCUCUGUUUCUUGGGUUUGGCUAAUGGGAGGCACCUUCAGGAGACCUGGGAGCCUGGAGAACGAAAGGGUGGGGAGUUUUCUCCCCUGACCUGCUGUUUUGGGGCUGCAUCUCCCGCAGUUCCAACCACAGGUCCUGCUGAUUAGCCCUUCUUUCGAGUCUCCGGGCUCUCUAGGUUCCCCUUGUAUUAUUUCCGUUGUUCUAGGGGUGCUAAGAGCUCCCACCGCUUUUAGUCCUGAAAUGCUUCACGAAUUCCACCAAUCGGUGGACCUGCCCACACCCCCUGGAGGAAAAGCCCCGCCCACACCCUAGGAGGAGGCCCCGCCCACACCCCUGGGAGGAAGCCCCGCCCACCCUCCGGGAAGGAGUCCCAGCCACACCCUGGAAGGGAUCCACUGAGCCGUCUGGGCAAAUAAUGACAAGCACAGUGAGGAACACCAGGGAGGCACAACAUACCGCGAUGACGAUCACCAGCCCCGACCACCAGCUCUCCUCGGUGGGACACGAGGUAGCGUUGGGAGCUGAAAGAGACGGGAGCAGCCUGAGUGUCCCCUGGAUGAGUGGGUCCCAGCCGGCAUCAGAGGUGGACCGUUGUCGGUGACACCAAGGCUGGUCUCACCGCCAUCCAUCACCCAGAUGAAGGCUCUCCAACCUGUCCUGCUGUCCCCACCCCCGCCCAGCGGCAGGUGACAUCAUGGUUGGCCUCCAGCCAGGCAACGUGCUCCGAGCUGGGGUUAAACACCGCACCCCGGGCCAUCCAUCCUCCCUUGGCAUGAGCUAACUGACAGCAGGGUCGGGUUUAAUUUCCCGUGAAAAAUAACAGAAUAUCUCAUUCUCUCAGUUGGGACAUUAAACCUGCUUCCUCUGAAGCCCUCUUUGUGAGGCUCCUCAAGACCGGGACUUGUACUCAGCAGCACUGCUGUCUUUCAGGAGCUGCAGCCCACACUUUCUCUGUGCCCUGCCCCGGGGACCCUCCCCGGAUCUGCCGAGCCUUCGGUUCCCAUCCAGGGCUGCAGAUGCACUGCUGCCUGGAAGGGCUACGUUCAGCCAGCUUAGAACAGUGCAGCUCUGUCCAGAAGUGAGGAGACGGUGCCGCAGGGGAAAGCUCUGGGGGACCACUUGAGCCUACCCUCAUUGCCCCGACGCCUCAUCAUUCGAGGACAAAUCCAUUCACUCACUCAACCCCUAUCUGCUAAGAGCCUACGACACGCCAUGCACUGGGCUAGGUGCUGGGGAGAGGAAGGUUGGUGAAAACACACAGGGACGUUGCCCUUGUGGUAGAGUCUGCUGAAGAAUGGACACUAUGGGACUUCCCCGGUGGCGCAUCGAUUGGAGUCCGCCUGCCAAUGCAGGGGACACGGGUUUGAGCCCUGGUCCAGGAGGAUCCCGCAUGCCGCGGAGC